AGAGUUUGAUCCUGGCUCAGGAUGAACGCUGGCGGCGUGCUUAACACAUGCAAGUCGAACGGAGCGUUUUUUCGGAAGUUUUCGGAUGGAAGAGAGAAUGACUUAGUGGCGGACGGGUGAGUAACGCGUGGGUAACCUGCCUCACACAGGGGGACAACAGCUGGAAACGGCUGCUAAUACCGCAUAAGCGCACAGGAUCGCAUGAUCCAGUGUGAAAAGCCGAGACGGCGCGCGACGGCCCCGCGUCUGAUUAGGUAGUUGGCGGGGUAACGGCCCACCAAGCCGACGAUCAGUAGCCGGCCUGAGAGGGUGAACGGCCACAUUGGGACUGAGACACGGCCCAAACUCCUACGGGAGGCAGCAGUGGGGAAUAUUGCACAAUGGGGGAAACCCUGAUGCAUCGACGCCGCGUGAGUGAAGAAGUAUUUCGGUAUGUAAAGCUCUAUCAGCAGGGAAGAAAAUGACGGUACCUGAGUAAGAAGCCCCGGCUAACUACGUGCCAGCAGCCGCGGUAAUACGUAGGGGGCAAGCGUUAUCCGGAUUUACUGGGUGUAAAGGGAGCGUAGACGGGAUGGCAAGUCAGAUGUGAAAGGCAUGGGCUUAACCUGUGGACUGCAUUUGAAACUGUCAGCCUGGAGUGCCGGAGAGGUAAGCGGAAUUCCUAGUGUAGCGGUGAAAUGCGUAGAUAUUAGGAGGAACACCAGUGGCGAAGGCGGCUUACUGGACGGUAACUGACGUUGAGGCUCGAAAGCGUGGGGAGCAAACAGAAUUGGAUCCCCUGGUAGUCCACGCGGUAAAACGAUGAAUACUAGGUGUUGGCGGACAAAGUCCUUCGGUGCCGCCCGCAAACGCAAUAAGUAUUCCACCUGGGGAGUACGUUCGCAAGAAUGAAAUUCAAAGGAAUUGACGGGGACCCGCACAAGCGGUGGAGCAUGUGGUUUAAUUUGAAGCAACGCGAAGAACCUUACCAAGUCUUGACAUCCCUCUGACCGGUGAGUAAUGUCACCUUUCCUUCGGGACAGGGGAGACAGGUGGUGCAUGGUUGUCGUCAGCUCGUGUCGUGAGAUGUUGGGUUAAGUCCCGCAACGAGCGCAACCCUUAUCCUUAGUAGCCAGCGAGUAAAGUCGGGCACUCUAGGGAGACUGCCAGGGACAACCUGGAGGAAGGUGGGGAUGACGUCAAAUCAUCAUGCCCCUUAUGACUUGGGCUACACACGUGCUACAAUGGCGUAAACAAAGGGAAGCGAGCCUGUGAGGGGGAGCGAAUCCCAAAAAUAACGUCCCAGUUCGGACUGUAGUCUGCAACCCGACAACACGAAGCUGGAAUCGCUAGUAAUCGCGAAUCAGCAUGUCGCGGUGAAUACGUUCCCGGGUCUUGCACACAACGCCCGUCA
rnacentral:rRNA from 1 species